UGCCAGACUCCUACGGGAGGCAGCAGUGAGGAAUAUUGGUCAAUGGCCGGAAGGCUGAACCAGCCAAGUCGCGUGAGGGACGACUGCCCUAUGGGUUGUAAACCUCUUUUAUAAGGGAAGAAUAAAUGCUACGUGUAGCAUGAUGCCUGUACCUUAUGAAUAAGCAUCGGCUAACUCCGUGCCAGCAGCCGCGGUAAUACGGAGGAUGCGAGCGUUAUCCGGAUUUAUUGGGUUUAAAGGGUGCGUAGGCGGGCAUUUAAGCCGGCGGUCAAAUGUCGGGGCUCAACCCCGGCCUGCCGUCGGAACUGGGUGCCUUGAGUGGGCGAGAAGUAUGCGGAAUGCGUGGUGUAGCGGUGAAAUGCAUAGAUAUCACGCAGAACCCCGAUUGCGAAGGCAGCAUACCGGCGCCCUACUGACGCUGAGGCACGAAAGUGCGGGUAUCGAACAGGAUUAGAUACCCGCGUAGU
rnacentral:rRNA from 1 species